GACGAACGCUGGCGGCGUGCUUAACACAUGCAAGUCGAACGCUGAAGCUCAGCUUUUGUUGGGUGGAUGAGUGGCGAACGGGUGAGUAACACGUGAGUAACCUGCCCCCUUCUUUGGGAUAACGCCCGGAAACGGGUGCUAAUACUGGAUAUUCACUGGUCUUCGCAUGGGGGUUGGUGGAAAGGGUUUUUCUGGUGGGGGAUGGGCUCGCGGCCUAUCAGCUUGUUGGUGGGGUGAUGGCCUACCAAGGCUUUGACGGGUAGCCGGCCUGAGAGGGUGACCGGUCACAUUGGGACUGAGAUACGGCCCAGACUCCUGCGGGAGGCAGCAGUGGCGAAUAUUGCACAAUGGGCGCAAGCCUGAUGCAGCGACGCCGCGUGAGGGAUGGAGGCCUUCGGGUUGUGAACCUCUUUCGCUCAUGGUCAAGCCGCAACAAUGGUUGUGGUGAGGGUAGUGGGUAAAGAAGCGCCGGCUAACUACGUG
rnacentral:rRNA from 1 species